GCUGGUGAGCGACUACGGGCGCACGCCGGGUAUCCGCGCCGCGGCCCGGCUCGGAGCGCGCGGCUGGAGGGGCGCGGGCGGCGCGCGCUCCGGGGAUGCCUUCCUGCGAGGCUCCGGCAGCGGGGACCGGGGAGAUCUCCCGCAGGCAGCGGAGGCGCGGCGGGCCGGGGGACGACCAGGGAGCCCCUAACAAAGCAGCUUUGGGAAGGCUGGAGGCCUCCGCCUCCCUCGGCGAUAGGUCCGCGAAGCUGCCCGUCACCCCGCAUAGGUGGAGGUGGCCAAUGGCGUGCACAGACGGAGCUCGAGUUGGCGCGCGCGCGCGGCUCGGCAUCGGUGGGAUUGGUCGGAGGUUGUGGGGGACGCGGAAACGGAGACGCUGGCGGUAGAGCCUCGAGCGAAACCUUUGCCUACACGAGGCCAGAGCUUCCUCCUGUCCUGAAGAGCUCUAGACAUCCCCGUUUGCAACAAUGGCUGGGAUGGAUGUUCCUUAGACCUUGAUUCCAUACACACACGUUCGCCCCACGGGCUGGGAAGGUCUGCGCGCCCGGGGUGAUCUUGUUGAAAACAAAAAGAACUGCCCACGCUGUGGAAGAUAAACCUAAACUGGAAAAUUGAAAG